CCUCAGGGUCCUUCCAUCUGGCUCAUUUCCUACGGUGGCCUUUAAGGAAAAUCUCGAGGCUUAUAGGGCAAACCUCUCAAUGAAAACCGAGGGGAACGAGUCCGCCCUUUGCUCAGGGACAUGCGUGCCCUCCUGGUUGGUGUGAGGCUGCAGUCCUGGCCUGGUCCCUCCUCUUCCUCUCCAAGUGGACUCUGGUUUUCCUGGACGACUCCAUUGUGAAGAUCCGGCCCGACCGUGGGGCACAGACGGUUGACAGGCUUCUGAGAGAGCGCCUCUCCGAUAGCGUGAGGCCCAGGCUGACCCUGCAGUCGCUCACUGUGAUAUUGCUCAUCUCACAGCAAGGCUGAGGAGACAUCACGACCACACACUGACUCCAGAAACUUUCGCUCUGAAGUGACCCACAUCACUCCUGCCCACGUUUUGUUGGACAAAGCCAGCUCCAGGGCUACCUAAGGUCCACACGGCCCAGCCCAGCCCUGUUCAGAGAGCCUCGCUUUGCUCGAAUCUGAAAUAAAACCACGCAGCCCUCCUCCCUGGCCCUCAGCGGCGGCCUGUCUGAUUGGAUGCCUCCCACAGCCCUGAAGACCAGAGCUUCAAGGAAGAAGCAGCCGGGGACACGCUGAGUCCUCGCUUCUUAAAGUGCGC